UAAUGCAAAUUUAAUGUUACUGGGACAUUGGAACGAUACAUAGAAGAUUAGCAUGACCCCUGCACAAGGAUGACACGCACAAAUGGAGAAAUGGUAUU